CCCUACUACAUGUCGGCUGCCUAAGUGGCUGGUGUGCUUGAUCCUCUCAUCUCAAAUCCGUUGCUCUGCUGGCACUGGCAGCUGCAGCUGGAGGUUGUUGCAGUGUGCGGCUUCCAUCUAGUCCUCGCAUGCUGGUCCGCUCCCUCCCUGGUUGGGUUGUGUCUGCACUCCUGGAAUUGUCUUGGAGUUGCAGUGCUUUGGACGAUCUGUCUUGUUUUGCCAGUGUUUGUUUGGGAUGCUCUCAACGAAACCUGUUGCUGCUUGGACAGGCUGAGCAAGCGGGGGCUCGAGUAGUUGGCCUGAAGCCAUGUUUUUACAAAGAGAAAUGUUUUAAUGAAAUUGUUUAAUAA